rnacentral:rRNA from 1 species
GAUGAACGCUGGCGGCGUGCCUAAUACAUGCAAGUCGAGCGAACAGACGAGGAGCUUGCUCCUCUGACGUUAGCGGCGGACGGGUGAGUAACACGUGGAUAACCUACCUAUAAGACUGGGAUAACUUCGGGAAACCGGAGCUAAUACCGGAUAAUAUAUUGAACCGCAUGGUUCAAUAGUGAAAGACGGUUUUGCUGUCACUUAUAGAUGGAUCCGCGCCGCAUUAGCUAGUUGGUAAGGUAACGGCUUACCAAGGCAACGAUGCGUAGCCGACCUGAGAGGGUGAUCGGCCACACUGGAACUGAGACACGGUCCAGACUCCUACGAGAGGCAGCAGCAGGGAAUCUUCCGCAAUGGGCGAAAGCCUGACGGAGCAACGCCGCGUGAGUGAUGAAGGUCUUCGGAUCGUAAAACUCUGUUAUUAGGGAAGAACAAAUGUGUAAGUAACUAUGCACGUCUUGACGGUACCUAAUCAGAAAGCCACGGCUAACUACGUG